AUCCUGGCUCAGAGCGAACGUUAGCGGCGGGCUUAACACAUGCAAGUCGAGCGAGAAAGGGGCUUCGGCCCUGAGUACAGCGGCGGACGGGUGAAUAACACGUAGGUAACCUUCCUUUCAGCGGGGGACAACGGUCCGAAAGGACCGCUAAUACCGCAUACGUUCCCUGGGACCUCGGUCCUGGGGAGGAAAGGCCCGCAAGGGCCACUGGAUGAGGGGCCUGCGUAGCAUCAGCUAGUUGGUGGGGUAAUGGCCUACCAAGGCGAAGACGCUUAGCUGGUCUGAGAGGAUGAUCAGCCACACUGGGACUGAGACACGGCCCAGACUCCUACGGGAGGCAGCAGUGGGGAAUAUUGGACAAUGGGCGCAAGCCUGAUCCAGCCACGCCGCGUGAGUGAUGAAGGCC
rnacentral:rRNA from 1 species